GCCCACCUAGCUCAGUAGGUAGAGCACGUCCUUGGUAAGGACGAGGUCACCAGUUCGAAUCUGGUGGUGGGCU
rnacentral:tRNA from 1 species